rnacentral:rRNA from 1 species
CGCGUAGGCGGCCUCUCAAGCGGGAUCUCUAAUCCGAGGGCUCAACCCCCGGCCGGAUCCCGAACUGGGAGGCUCGAGUUCGGUAGAGGCAGGCGGAAUUCCCGGUGUAGCGGUGGAAUGCGCAGAUAUCGGGAAGAACACCGAUGGCGAAGGCAGCCUGCUGGGCCGCAACUGACGCUGAGGCGCGAAAGUGUGGGUAGCAAAC